GAGACCCAAAGACUAGAUAUUAGCCAUGGGUUGGCAGGUGUAGAAGGGACCAUUGUGGUCCAGGAAAGAGCUGGUCCAGGUGAACUAUCCAUGGGAAGACCAUGGAUGACAAAGUGCCUACUAUGUGUUAGGCCCAGCGCCAGGUGUGGGGACUACAGAGAUGAGUAAGCUGUCCCUGCCAUUCCUGAUUGAGAUGCUCACACAUCCGCGUGGCGAAACAAGAUUACUCAGUAAAUAGAUCUGGCAGAGGACCUGUUCAUUUAUAGCAAGAUCUUCCCUCUCAAAGAGCCUGGAUUGUGUAUUUCACUGUAGGGCAACCUCAAAGAUACGGCAUUCCUAAGAUAAUCUGCUUUUGAAAAUAGCACAGGAUUAUUUUGCUGUAAGAUUUUUCCCUACAGUUUUCUGAGACUUUUGCCCUGAAUGGAGAAGGGGCCCCCGGCUAUACAAAUGCAGAUCAAACCCACUGGUGAGAAGAUACCUUGUGAACAAAGCAAGUUGACUCUCUAAAAUUUUCUCUGCUCGAUAGUUGUUGAUAUAUCCUUGAAGGAUUUUUAAAGAAAGUCCUAUAAACACCAUCCCUUCAGA